UCUCCCAUCAGCUCGAUAUGACAUCCUGUCGGGUCUUCAUGAUUAUGACAUGGAAGGUGGCUUGCACAUUGGGCUGAGGCGGUUGGAUUGCACAUGGCGGUUGGAUCUUGCCUCACUGACAGUGAAAUGAAUGGACCAGGAGAAAUUGAGUAUGGAGUAGGAGCGCUGGAGGGGGACACGACACCACACAAUCUUGAGAAUGCCAAUAUGAUGAGCAGCAUCAGGAAAGGUGUGGAAUGGUUGAAGGACAAUCACCCGCUGAUGAAGAUCAAGUACUUGCCACCACGCAUUGACAGCAUGGAG